rnacentral:lncRNA from 1 species
AUUCUAAGCAAAGCUUAAACCAAAUGGAUGAAUCAGGCUCCUCUUCUGUUUCUGUGGUUAAGAAUGCCUUUUUCUAUGUCAUGGUAAUGCCCACACUACAAGAUGGAUUGCCAGAAGACAGAAGAAGCCAUUUCAGUGUUUUGUUUCUUUUUAAACUUUUCUCCUCAGCACAAGACAAUCUCACUAGAGAACUGCAUCUAUAAAUGUGCACAUUUCCCGACACAACCAGAGUUGUCUCAUCCUCAAGGUCUAUUUUUCAGUUAGGCCUUGGAGCAGGGUUCCAGAAUUUGUUCAACUCCUGCUAAUUUAGCAACUGUUUCUUGAUGAUUUCUGCUUUGGUGACAGGCGCACUUGAUGACUGUCCCAUAGAGAUACACAAGCAUAAAUUCUGUACUGGAAGGCUCCAGUCUGGAAAGUGUGAGGAUUGCACAGAAAACAUAGCAAUGGGACAAAAGCACCAUGGCUCUGGGCUGUUGCCAUGGCCUGUUCUCGUGUGUGGGCAAUUUAUAUGACAGGGCAGAUGGAGACCCUGUUUUCAGAAUGUGUGUAACUCCACUCUUGGUUUGCUAAGAGAAUGCUUAUCUAGUCCCAGCAUGCACGUGGGUUAAGAUAUUUUACUUAGAUUUAUUUAUGCAUUUACACAUCCAUACGUGCAGUCAAAAAUAUUUAUUGAACACCUGCAAUGUGUGAGACUCUAUGUGCCAAAGAUAGAGCAGUAAAUAAAAUAGAAAAAUCCCCAUCCUCAUGAAUUACAUGUUGGUGGAGGACGUGGGGACAAUAUGCAAAAUAAAUGAAAAUAUAUAUAUAUAUUUAAAAUAAUGGCUAUGAGAAAAUAUAAUGCAGAAAAGGGGAAUGGCAAGUACCCCUAAGGAAGUGUGUAAUUUGUGAUUUUAAGCAAGGUGGUCAGGGAAGACCUUACUGAUUAGGUAAUAUUUUGACUUGCUAUCCCUAUGGUGCUAUGGAAGUAGUAAUGAACUUGGAAUUGGAAAAUCUGGAUUCAACUCUUGUUAUGGACCGAAUUAUGACCUUCAACCCCCUAGAAUUCAUAUUUUGUAGACUUAACCCCCAGUACCUUGAUACGUGACUGUAUUUGGAGGCAGGGGCUUUAAAGAGAUAAUUAAGGUAAAUUAUCUUAUUAGGGCCCUCAGGGUGGGGCCCUAAUCCAAUAUGAUUGGUAUCAUAUGGGAAGAAUGACAAAAAUAAUAAGAGGCUUCAGGGAUGCGGGUGCACAGAGAAAAGGCCAUGUGAGGACACAGCAAGAAGGUGGCCAUCUGCAAGGCAAGAAGCUGCCUCAGGAGAAACCAGGACUGCUGACAUCUGCAUCUUGAACUUCCAGCCUCCACAACUGGGAGAAAAUAAAUGUUGUUUAAGCAA